UACGGGGGGGGCAAGCGUUGUUCGGAAUUACUGGGCGUAAAGGGCUCGUAGGUGGCCAACUAAGUCAGACGUGAAAUCCCUCGGCUUAACCGGGGAACUGCAUCUGAUACUGGAUGGCUUGAGUUUGGGAGAGGGACGCGGAAUUCCAGGUGUAGCGGUGAAAUGCGUAGAUAUCUGGAGGAACACCGGUGGCGAAGGCGGCAUCCUGGACCAACACUGACGCUGAGGAGCGAAAGCCAGGGGAGCAAACGGG
rnacentral:rRNA from 1 species